rnacentral:rRNA from 1 species
AUACAUGCAAGGCGAGGGUGAAUACUUUCGGGUAUGAAACCGCCGUACGGGUGCGUAACGCGUAUGCAACCUACCCAUCACAGGGGGACAGCCCAUGGAAACGUGGAUUAAUACCGCAUGAAGCAGGGGCACUGCAUGGUGAUACUGCUAAAGAUUUAUCGGUGAUGGAUGGGCAUGCGUCUGAUUAGCUAGUUGGUAGGGUAACGGCCUACCAAGGCGACGAUCAGUAGGGGAGCUGAGAGGUUUUUCCCCCACACGGGCACUGAGACACGGGCCCGACUCCUACGGGAGGCAGCAGUAGGGAAUAUUGGGCAAUGGAUGGAAGUCUGACCCAGCCAUCCCGCGUGCCGGAAGACGGCCCUCAGGGUUGUAAACGGCCUUUGACGGUGAAGAAUAGGCGGGAUGCGUCCUGUUUUGACGGUAGCCGUUGAAUAAGCACCGGCUAACUCCGUGCCAGCAGCCGCGGUAAUACGGAGGGUGCGAGCGUUGUCCGGAUUUAUUGGGUUUAAAGGGUGCGUAGGCUGGGAGGUAAGUCAGCGGUGAAAAGCACACGCUUAACGGGUGUCUUGCCGCAGAUACUACUUUUCUUGGAUGAGGAGGAGGUCACUGGAACGGAUGGUGUAGCGGUGAAAUGCAUAGAUAUCAUCCAGAACACCGAUUGCGAAGGCAGGUGACUGUACCUUAAUCGACGCUGAGGCACGAAAGCGUGGGGAGCGAACAGGAUUAGAUACCCUGGUAGUCCACGCCGUAAACGAUGAGGACUAGCUGUUGGGCCUAUAGGGUUCAGUGGCAAAGGGAAACCGUUAAGUCCUCCACCUGG